rnacentral:rRNA from 1 species
GUGACAGCAGCCGCGGUAAUACAGAGGUCCCAAGCGUUGUUCGGAUUUACUGGGCGUAAAGGGUGCGUAGGCGGUCGGGUAAGUCUGGUGUGAAAUCUCAGAGCUCAACUCUGAAACUGCAUUGGAUACUAUUCGGCUUGAGGUCUGGAGGGGGGACUGGAAUUCUCGGUGUAGCAGUGAAAUGCGUAGAUAUCGAGAGGAACACCAGUGGCGAAGGCGAGUCCCUGGACAGGUCCUGACGCUGAGGCACGAAAGCUAGGGGAGCAAACAGGAUUAGAAACCCGCGUAGUCC